rnacentral:lncRNA from 1 species
UAUAUAUAUAUAUAUAUAUAUAAUUUGUCAUUAUUAAUGAUAGUUCCUCAGGACUUUUUGUUUGUAUCCUCCUAACAACAGUUUAAUAAAAAAAGUUCACAUGGAACUUCAGCAGUUCAGCAGAAGGACGUGCUUUAAAAAAAGUAAUUUUUUUAUGUAGGAAGGUAGGAACACAUAGUAACCUAUUUCAGUUAGAUCAUAUGAAACAAAACUUUGAUCAAUUAGUUAAUAUUUUCCGCAAUUAUAUCAUUAUGUUGCUAUAAUACAAUUGUACUUGUAAGUUUCUAACUUCUAAUAAAAAUUUACAAACCUGUUGACGUGAACAGGCAUGUUUUGAGUCUGCAGUUGCAGUUGAACAUCCACCCUUUAGGGGGCGCUGUCUCAAAAACAACAAGUGUAAAUGUGCGGUAUCCGGGUAGCCAUGCAGCCGUUUCGAACUGCUGCUUAUAUGGCUUCUUCGGAUAUAUUGCCAUAUAUAUAUGACCCUGAAUCUGAAGAUGAAACUGAAAAAACUCACUCUAAAAGUGAUUGUUCAAAACUCACCGUCAGACGUUUUCGAAAGUCGAAAAGAAUUUCUAUCGGAGGCGUUUUAAAAAGAUGGAGGGAGUUUCGUAAGCUACAAGGGAUCAAAACCGAUGAAGAGUUGGCAAAAUUCCUUUUGGACAGUCAACCUUCGAGUUGUAUUGUGCAUGGCUGUGGCAAAAAGUCAGAGCCUUAUGUGAGAACCCUGCAUCAGUUUCCAGAAGAUUUGGAGACCGUAAAAGUGUGGAAAGAGUUUGUGCAGAAGACCACCACAGAAUGGGAUGGUCAGGUCUCUCCGUGGAAGAAGAUCUGUAGUGAGCAUUUUGAGCCAAGCUGUUAUGCAAAUCACACAGCCUGGUUGAUGCGUUCCGUUCAGAAGUUGGAACUGAGAGAUGAGUUUCAAGUCCCAACAAUAUAUCCUACUGAGGAAACAUCUUCACAUGAUGCGGGAAGUUUGGAUCAACCACAGCAAGCUGCAGUUGGGGGGAUAGAGCCUACUCGGAUUCCAGAGUCUCCCAGUCAAAACACGAAAGUUGUAGAGGGAAAUGCGCAACAACCGACGACGCUUCAGCUGCCACCAGAGCUCCACCAAACACCCCUGUCUGUUCCAUCUUUCUGCGUAACCCCUUUGGUUCUAUAUACAGCACCAGCAACACCGUACCAAGUGCAGCCUGGCCUCACAGGAAGUGUGAAUGUUGUUGGAGAAAAGUCAUGGAAAAGCAAAGGCUGUCAAACAGAAAGUGUUACAUUUGCUGAUGGAAAUUGCCACAUCAUAAAACCACGUCUGCCAAAAGCCGAAACAGCAGAGGACACAUACUCCAGAGACAGUGAUGUUUGUGAUGAAGACGAAGAUGUCAGCAGGUACCACAAUAAAGAUGUGGAGGAUAAGCUAUUGUUGUAG